rnacentral:rRNA from 1 species
UACGGGAGGCAGCAGUGGGGAAUAUUGCACAAUGGAGGAAACUCUGAUGCAGCGACGCCGCGUGAGUGACGAAGUGUUUCGGCAUGUAAAGCUCUAUCAGCAGGGAAGAAAAUGACGGUACCUGACUAAGAAGCCCCGGCUAACUACGUGCCAGCAGCCGCGGUAAU